GAGAAGGGCGUUUGGUGAAUGCCUUGGCAGUAAGAGGCGAUGAAAGACGUGAUACUCUGCGAUAAGCCAUGGGGAGCUGAGAAUAAGCUUUGAUCCAUGGAUUUCUGAAUGGGGCAACCCACCUGACAGUUUCAUAUUGUUGCGCAAGCACUCAAUAUGUCGCUGAAACAGGUACUUUUAACCUGAAUACAUAGGGUUUUAAGAGCAAACCCGGGGAACUGAAACAUCUAAGUACCCGGAGGAAAGGAAA
rnacentral:rRNA from 13 species